GAUGAACGCUGGCGGCGUGCCUAAUACAUGCAAGUCGAGCGAACAGACGAGGAGCUUGCUCCUCUGACGUUAGCGGCGGACGGGUGAGUAACACGUGGAUAACCUACCUAUAAGACUGGGAUAACUUCGGGAAACCGGAGCUAAUACCGGAUAAUAUAUUGAACCGCAUGGUUCAAUAGUGAAAGACGGUUUUGCUGUCACUUAUAGAUGGAUCCGCGCCGCAUUAGCUAGUUGGUAAGGUAACGGCUUACCAAGGCAACGAUGCGUAGCCGACCUGAGAGGGGUAGCGGCACCAAGGAAAUCAGCCCGAAGGCCACCCCCCGAGGGGUGGCGACCGCAGGAAAACUACCGAGAUGGGGGAAAACCUGCAAGAGCAGCGGCGAGAGAGUGAGGAAGUUCUUCAAACAGAAAAACCCUUUUUUUAGGGGAGAAAAAAUGUUAAAGUAAUUAAGAACCUUUUGCCGGUACCCAAACAGAAGGCACCGGGUAACUGCAU
rnacentral:rRNA from 1 species